rnacentral:rRNA from 1 species
GGGGCAGCUACACAUGCAGUCGAGCGAGAACUUCGGUUCUAGCGGCGGACGGGUUAGUAACGCGUGGGAACGUGCCCUUCACUACGGAAUAGUCCCGGGAAACUGGGUUUAAUACCGUAUACGCCCUUCGGGGGAAAGAAUUUCGGUGAAGGAUCGGCCCGCGUUAGAUUAGAUAGUUGGUGGGGUAACGGCCUACCAAGUCUACGAUCUAUAGCUGGUUUUAGAGGAUGAUCAGCAACACUGGGACUGAGACACGGCCCAGACUCCUACGGGAGGCAGCAGUGGGGAAUCUUAGACAAUGGGCGCAAGCCUGAUCUAGCCAUGCCGCGUGAGUGAUGAAGGCCUUAGGGUCGUAAAGCUCUUUCGCCAGGGAUGAUAAUGACAGUACCUGGUAAAGAAACCCCGGCUAACUCCGUGCCAGCAGCCGCGGUAAUACGGAGGGGGUUAGCGUUGUUCGGAAUUACUGGGCGUAAAGCGCGCGUAGGCGGAUUGGAAAGUUGGGGGUGAAAUCCCAGGGCUCAACCCUGGAACUGCCUCCAAAACUAUCAGUCUAGAGUUCGAGAGAGGUGAGUGGAACUCCGAGUGUAGAGGUGAAAUUCGUAGAUAUUCGGAAGAACACCAGUGGCGAAGGCGGCUCACUGGCUCGAUACUGACGCUGAGGUGCGAAAGUGUGGGGAGCAAACAGGAUUAGAUACCCUGGUAGUCCACAC